rnacentral:rRNA from 1 species
UACAGAGGGUGCGAGCGUUAAUCGGAAUUACUGGGCGUAAAGGGUGCGUAGGUGGUUCGAUAAGUCAGAUGUGAAAUCCCCGGGCUUAACCUGGGAACUGCAUUUGUGACUGUAUGGCUAGAGUGCGGCAGAGGGGGAUGGAAUUCCGCGUGUAGCGGUGAAAUGCGUAGAGAUUGGGAAGAACACCGGUGGCGAAAGCGCUCUACUAGACCUGUACCGACACUGAGGGACGAAAGCUAGGGGAGCGAAUGGG